AUGAACGCUGGCGGCGUGCCUAAUACAUGCAAGUCGAACGAGUUCUGAUUAUUGAAAGGUGCUUGCAUCUUGAUUUAAUUUUGAACGAGUGGCGGACGGGUGAGUAACACGUGGGUAACCUGCCCUUAAGUGGGGGAUAACAUUUGGAAACAGAUGCUAAUACCGCAUAAAUCCAAGAACCGCAUGGUUCUUGGCUGAAAGAUGGCGUAAGCUAUCGCUUUUGGAUGGACCCGCGGCGUAUUAGCUAGUUGGUGAGGUAACGGCUCACCAAGGCAAUGAUACGUAGCCGAACUGAGAGGUUGAUCGGCCACAUUGGGACUGAGACACGGCCCAAACUCCUACGGGAGGCAGCAGUAGGGAAUCUUCCACAAUGGACGCAAGUCUGAUGGAGCAACGCCGCGUGAGUGAAGAAGGCUUUCGGGUCGUAAAACUCUGUUGUUGGAGAAGAAUGGUCGGCAGAGUAACUGUUGUCGGCGUGACGGUAUCCAACCAGAAAGCCACGGCUAACUACGUGCCAGCAGCCGCGGUAAUACGUAGGUGGCAAGCGUUAUCCGGAUUUAUUGGGCGUAAAGCGAGCGCAGGCGGUUUUUUAAGUCUGAUGUGAAAGCCCUCGGCUUAACCGAGGAAGUGCAUCGGAAACUGGGAAACUUGAGUACAGAAGAGGACAGUGGAACUCCAUGUGUAGCGGUGAAAUGCGUAGAUAUAUGGAAGAACACCAGUGGCGAAGGCGGCUGUCUGGUCUGUAACUGACGCUGAGGCUCGAAAGCAUGGGUAGCGAACAGGAUUAGAUACCCUGGUAGUCCAUGCCGUAAACGAUGAAUGCUAGGUGUUGGAGGGUUUCCGCCCUUCAGUGCCGCAGCUAACGCAUUAAGCAUUCCGCCUGGGGAGUACGACCGCAAGGUUGAAACUCAAAGGAAUUGACGGGGGCCCGCACAAGCGGUGGAGCAUGUGGUUUAAUUCGAAGCAACGCGAAGAACCUUACCAGGUCUUGACAUCUUUUGAUCACCUGAGAGAUCAGGUUUCCCCUUCGGGGGCAAAAUGACAGGUGGUGCAUGGUUGUCGUCAGCUCGUGUCGUGAGAUGUUGGGUUAAGUCCCGCAACGAGCGCAACCCUUAUGACUAGUUGCCAGCAUUUAGUUGGGCACUCUAGUAAGACUGCCGGUGACAAACCGGAGGAAGGUGGGGAUGACGUCAAAUCAUCAUGCCCCUUAUGACCUGGGCUACACAUGUGCUACAAUGGAUGGUACAACGAGUUGCGAGACCGCGAGGUCAAGCUAAUCUCUUAAAGCCAUUCUCAGUUCGGACUGUAGGCUGCAACUCGCCUACACGAAGUCGGAAUCGCUAGUAAUCGCGGAUCAGCACGCCGCGGUGAAUACGUUCCCGGGCCUUGUACACACCGCCCGUCACACCAUGAGAGUUUGUAACACCCGAAGCCGGUGGCGUAACCCUUUUAGGGAGCGAGCCGUCUAAGGUGGGACAAUUGAUUAGGGUG
rnacentral:rRNA from 1 species